rnacentral:rRNA from 1 species
UACGAAGGGGGCGAGCGUUGUUCGGAUUUACUGGGCGUAAAGGGCGCGUAGGCGGCCCCUCAAGUCAGGCGUGAAAGCCCCGGGCUCAACCUGGGAGGUGCGCUUGGGACUGGGGGGCUGGAGUUCGGGAGAGGAGCGCGGAAUUCCCAGUGUAGAGGUGAAAUUCGUAGAUAUUGGGAAGAACACCGGUGGCGAAGGCGGCGCUCUGGACCGAGACUGACGCUGAGGCGCGAAGGCGUGGGGAGCAAACAGG